rnacentral:rRNA from 1 species
AGCAGCCGCGGUAAUUCCAGCUCCAAUAGCGUAUAUUAAAGUUGUUGCAGUUAAAAAGCUCGUAGUUGAAUUUCGAGAUCGGCUUACUGGUCGUGCUUUUGUACGUACUGGUAUAAUCGGUUUCUCCUUUCUGACGAACUUUAAUGCCAUUAAUUUGGUGUUUUAGGAAAUCAGGACUGUUACUUUGAAAAAAUUAGAGUGUUUAAAGCAGGCUCACGCUUGAAUACAUUAGCAUGGAAUAACGGAAUAGGACGUUUGAUUCUAUUUUGUUGGUUUCUAGGAUCGACGUAAUGAUUAAUAGGGAUAGUUGGGGGCAUUAGUAUUCAAUUGUCAGAGGUGAAAUUCUUGGAUUUAUUGAAGACUAACUACUGCGAAAGCAUUUGCCAAGGAUGUUUUCAUUAAUCAAGAACGAAAGUUAGGGGAUCGAAGACGAUCAGAUACCGUCGUAGUCUUAACCAUAAACUAUGCCGACUAGGGAUCGGAUGAUGUUAAUUUUUUAAUGACUCA